UAAAAGUCGUAACAAGGUUUCCGUAGGUGAACCUGCGGAAGGAUCAUUACCGUUACUCUGUGUCUUGCACACACUGUAAACCACUGUGAACUGUUCCGAGCUUGUGGGGUGGUUCUUCUUUGCAGGAGAAUCUCAAAUGCAGUUAGACAGCCGAGGCUGGCUGCUGCGGCCCCACAUGUCUGUCUCUUAUGUUUUUCAAAACACUCGUCAAUUCAUUCCAGUUGAAUAGUAUCACUCUGGCCAGUCCAGUUUGAUACACAGUUUAAACACAUGACAACUUCUAACGGUGGAUCUCUUGGCUCGUGCAUCGAUGAAGAACGUAGCCAGUUGCGAUAAGUAGUGUGAAUUGCAGAAUUCAGUGAAUCAUCGAAUCUUUGAACGCAAAUUGCGCUCUCUGGAUAUCCAGGGAGCAUGCCUGUCUGAGUGUCGUGAUAAAAACUACACACCCCUGGUGUGGCAUGUGGGUAUCGAGUUUGCAGAUUGCUCAGGCGUUCUGUACUAAACUCGUCCUGCGAAGUGCGUGAACCUGAAUGUGCUGCUGACUGCAUGUGCAUUGGGAAGGCUCAACUUGCUUCUGUCUUUCCCUCUGCGUUCUCAUGCCAGCAGUAUCAUUGUAGAUGGUGAACAAGACGGUGUCCCACCCAUGGGGCGGGCACGAUGUCAAUUUCUGAUUUUGACCUCAGAUCAGACAAGACUACCCGCUGAAUUUAAGCAUAUCA
rnacentral:rRNA from 1 species